GUUCACCUGUAGGUGAGGUAAAGAGCAAAAGUGAGCAGAGCUGGGCUUCGAACACAAGUUUUGCUGCUAGAAUUAAACAUGUGCUCAGCCUGACAUGUUUCUGAUUGAAAGCCGAACGCUCUAACCACUGAGCCACAGAGCUUGUACAAUGCAUGAGGGUUGUAAUCCGAGUUUUGUUGGAUCCCGUGAGAGUUUCAACAGUGAAAUUCAAGCAUCAGUGGGAUUCAAACCCGGGUCUUCAAAAUGUAAAUCAAAUGCUCUAACCACUGUACUAUUGAGCUUGUGUUUUCCAUGAUGUUUGUAAUUCCAGUUUUGUUGGAUCCCCAAAGAAUUUUAACAGUGAAAUUCAAGUGAAACCCGCUGUGUGAGGGUUUUAAUUUGAGUUUUGUUGUAUCUCUAUAUAAUUUUUCAUAGUGAAAUUCAAGCAGCCGUGGGAUUCAAACCCGGGUCUCCAAAAUGCAAAUCGAAUGCUCUAACCACUCAACCACAGAGCUGGUCCUCACUAUGACUUCUGUAGGAAUGGAUCUACACUGAUGUCUGUUUUAGUACUCCAGUCCUGGGGACCAACAGAUCUCCACAUUUUACAUGUCUCUCUUAUCAAAUACACACAGGUUCCUGAAUCAGGCCCCGUAUUCACAGAUUCUUUUAUCUUCUCCUCAACAUCAGAAAAAAAUUUAAGCUAAGAGUUUCUUUUACAACUUAUUCACAAAGCUGCAGAUUUAAAGGUUUAAGCUAAGAAUGAGGCGGGUUCAGCUCAUUGCUAUGGAUGUUGUCAGCAUGCUUAUUAACUAUGCACACAGUGACUGGAUGAUAAGCAGGUGAGGAGUCUCUGUCAGAAAUGUGUUGAUAGACACUUUGCAGAGGACAAUAUCAUGUAGCCAUGUUCAAAUAAAGGUUUUAAAAUGCA